rnacentral:rRNA from 1 species
UACGAAGGGUGCAAACGUUGCUCGGAAUCAUUGGGCGUAAAGCGCACGUAGGCGGCCCCAAAAGUUGGAUGUGAAAUCCCUCGGCUCAACCGAGGACGUGCAUCCAAAACUGUGGGGCUUGAGUACUGAAGAGGAUCGCGGAAUUCCCGGUGUAGAGGUGAAAUUCGUAGAUAUCGGGAGGAACACCAGUGGCGAAGGCGGCCCACUGGUCCGGUACUGACGCUGAGGUGCGAAAGCGUGGGGAGCAAACAGG